UACGAAGGGGGCUAGCGUUGCUCGGAAUCACUGGGCGUAAAGCGCACGUAGGCGGAUCUUUAAGUCAGGGGUGAAAUCCUGGAGCUCAACUUCAGAACUGCCUUUGAUACUGAGGAUCUCGAGUCCGGGAGAGGUGAGUGGAACUGCGAGUGUAGAGGUGAAAUUCGUAGAUAUUCGCAAGAACACCAGUGGCGAAGGCGGCUCACUGGCCCGGUACUGACGCUGAGGUGCGAAAGCGUGGGGAGCAAACAGG
rnacentral:rRNA from 1 species